ensembl:snRNA U6 U6 spliceosomal RNA
GUGUUCACUUUGGCAGCACAUAUACUAAAAUUGAAACAAUACAGAGAUUAAGAUGGUCCUUUGUGCAAGGAUGACAUGCAAACUCAUGAAGUGUUCCAUAUUACA